GCACAAAGGAGUAGGGAAGGAGACACUCUUCUCACAAAGCUAAAAAUUCCCGUUCUGGGCAGCUCAGUACCAUCACGCUACAGCCACAGAUUAAAAUAUUUGGAGCUCAGGACCCUUACGAACGCCUUCACACACCUGAGGCUUUGGGGAAGGCACAGCUGCGGCCGCCUUUCCCUCAGGAGCCUCACAGCGCACUGAGCACGUGAAGAAACUUCUGGAGCUCUGAGGGGGGCGGCUCCUGCACCUGUGAGGGGCCGCAGUGCCAGUCGUGCUUUUCUCUCUCUGGUGCCGGCUGGGAAGUGCUGUUUUGCUCUUCAGACACCUGAAAGGACCCUGAAAGCUGCAAGUUGCAUAUAUUCUUGAGUUGCUUUAUCUACUCAUUUAAGGAUUGCAUGGGAAAAAAAACUGGGCUGCUAUACCUGGAGACAUGAGCAAGAACUGGAAUUCAGAACUGAUCAGUGUGGACUGGGUGUCAUAGAUACAGAACAACUAGAAUUCUCUAAAAUCCUUCCUCCGAAGACAGGGAGUCUAGUAUUUCAGGU